rnacentral:rRNA from 1 species
ACUGCAGUCGAGCGGACAGAUGGGAGCUUGCUCCCUGAUGUCAGCGGCGGACGGGUGAGUAACACGUGGGUAACCUGCCUGUAAGACUGGGAUAACUCCGGGAAACCGGGGCUAAUACCGGAUGCUUGAUUGAACCGCAUGGUUCAAUUAUAAAAGGUGGCUUCUGCUAUCCCUUACCGAUGGACCCGCGGCGCAUUAACUAGUUGGGGAGGUAACGGCUCCC